GCCCCGCCCCCUCCCAGUGGCUCAUUGUUCAGCCCUGGGAGGGGGAGGAUGAUGGGGAGGGAGCCAGCCAGGAGGUGCGCGCCCCGAUGAUCUCCAUGGAGACGUGGGGGCGCGGCCCUAGCGGGGCCUGGCCUCCAGCCCCUUCCCUUUCGGUCUUGGCACCCAACAUCCGCAGAGGACCGGGCCCUGGGAGCGUGGCGCUCAACUACUGCUCUAGAGUCCCGGGCCGCGGCUGCUAAAGAGUCCCUCGUACAGUUUCCUCUGGGCCGAGUGCUGUUCAAUCCUCGCAUUGCACCUGAUAGUGCAGAUCUAUGACCUGGCUUCUCGGGAGAUACCAGGACGGGCUUAUUUUCCUGCUAGUGAGGCGCCACAACCAGCCCAAACACUGGCAGCACCGUUUCUAUCUCUUCCCUGGACCCCUGCAUAGGCACCUCCUGGGACUGGAUCCCUCGGAUGUCCCCUGAGAUGCCAGCCCCUGAUUCACCUGUGUAACUUUUUAAAAAGUCCAGGCUCUAGAAAAGAUCUGGAAGAAUCCAAGGUGUAACAGCUGGGCACCUAUGCAGAAAUGGAGUCUGCACUGACUGGAAAUGAGUUUGCCUCCUUAGGUCCCUAGUACACCUUGCACAGGGCCCAUCUCCAGGCUGCACUGACCCCUAGUGGCUAAACUAUGUCUCUACACCUCAGAACAUCCUAUUCCAUACAAGGACCCACCUACCGAGGUGUGUGCAAAGACAGUAGCCUCUGGGCUCCAGUAACAAGAACAGUAGCCUCUGGGCUCCAGGCUGCAGCACUGAGAGUCACACUCCACAUGGUGUGUGCACUUAAAGGGACUCAGUCCUGCACCUCAAGUAUUCCGUGAACACGCAGCCGCAUACUGCUGGGAUCCCUGAGCCCCCAGUUCAACGGUUCUCAGUCCUACUGUAGACAGUGGCAAACUAAGGUUCCGGGUGUACUGUCAGAGCUCAUCGCUAGACCCAGGGACAGAAAGUGAAGAGUCAAACCGUAUGCUAAUGCGCCUGGAAGGGGGUCAGCUGCGACAGCAAAGGGAACCCACAGAGAGAGUCAACUGGAAACCGCAGGAAGAAGACAAGCCAUGUGCAAUUGGAACAGCAUCCACCCUGCCUAUGCCACAGAACCAAGCAUCCCUGUUCCUGUCACUAGUGUUACUGCCCCCCUGGCCCCCAACAAAUGCACACUCUUGAGGUUACAUGGAAAAGUAGCGCUACCUUGAUUGACAACAUCCCUUCCCUACGCACCUCUUGCUUGCACGGAGACAGGUUUGUUUAAGACUUGCUAUAGUGUGGUAUUGGUGACUGGUGAGGUGACAGUCUCCGGCUACCACUGUGGUUCUAACGGUUUUGCUUUCGGCACAAGAAGUUUUGUAAGUAAGAUCUUAACAUCCUGAAGAGGGAAGAUGGACCCUUGUGUGGCCAUGACUUUACCUUUUCUUAAGUUCAUGACUGGGUCAGUGAGCGUAUUCACCGUCAAUUCCACACUUUUGUCACCCAGAGGAAACCUCCAAUCAAGCGCAAUCUUCCACACCCUAAUCCCCCUCCCCCCUCAGACCUGCUGGCCAACCUCCUGUCUGGAUCGGUCUCUCAAGACUUGCCUGUGCCUGGCCUCUGUCCCUCAGUGCAGCCUCAGUUCUUAACCCUUCCCUGAAGGCUUAGUCUCAGUGGCGUGGGUGUUUCACAGUCCAAUUAGUCAGUUAUCAGUGGACUGAGACGCAUUGACUCUACUUGUUAAAAAUAAUUAAUUAUGAUCAUUAUUAAUUAAUAAGUGUUGCUAAUUAUUAAUUAAUGUUGAUUGUUUGGAGUUAUCUCCUCCCCCUUUCUUUUUUGCUUCCUUGUUCCUUCCCCCUUUUCUUUCCUUCCCCU